UACGGGGGGAGCAAGCGUUGUUCGGAUUUACUGGGCGUAAAGGGCGCGUAGGCGGCGCGACAAGUCACUUGUGAAAUCUCUGGGCUCAACCCAGACGGUCAAGUGAUACUGUCGUGCUAGAGUGCGGAAGGGGCAACUGGAAUUCUUGGUGUAGCGGUGAAAUGCGCAGAUAUCAGGAGGAACACCGGUGGCGAAGGCGGGUCUCUGGGCCGAUACUGACGCUGGAGGAGCGAAAAGCGU
rnacentral:rRNA from 1 species